rnacentral:rRNA from 1 species
AACGCUAGCUACAGGCUUAACACAUGCAAGUCGAGGGGAAACGAUAUUGGAAGCUUGCUUCCGAUAGGCGUCGACCGGCGCACGGGUGAGUAACGCGUAUCCAACCUGCCCAUCACUUGGGAAUAACCUUGCGAAAGUAAGACUAAUGCCCAAUGAUAUCCCACGAAGGCAUCCGAAUGGGAUUAAAGAUUUAUCGGUGAUGGAUGGGGAUGCGUCUGAUUAGCUUGUUGGCGGGGUAACGGCCCACCAAGGCAACGAUCAGUAGGGGUUCUGAGAGGAAGGUCCCCCGCAUUGGAACUGAGACACGGUCCAAACUCCUACGGGAGCCAGCAGUGAGGAAUAUUGGUCAAUGGGCGAGAGCCUGAACCAGCCAAGUAGCGUGCAGGAUGACGGCCCUAUGGGUUGUAAACUGCUUUUAUAAGGGAAUAAAGUGGGUCACGUGUGACUUUUUGCAUGUACCUUAUGAAUAAGGACCGGCUAAUUCCGUGCCAGCAGCCGCGGUAAUACGGAAGGUCCGGGCGUUAUCCGGAUUUAUUGGGUUUAAAGGGAGCGUAGGCCGGAGAUUAAGCGUGUUGUGAAAUGUAGAGGCUCAACCUCUGCACUGCAGCGCGAACUGGUCUUCUUGAGUACGCACAACGUGGGCGGAAUUCGUGGUGUAGCGGUGAAAUGCUUAGAUAUCACGAAGAACUCCGAUUG